CGGAGUAUGGCGCAGCCCGGUAGCGCACACGCCUGGGGGGCGUGGGGUCACAGGUUCGAAUCCUGUUACUCCGACCA
rnacentral:tRNA from 1 species